rnacentral:rRNA from 1 species
GAACGAAGCCUUCGGGUUUAGUGGCGCACGGGUGCGUAACGCGUGGGAAUCUGCCCCUUGGUUCGGAAUAACAGUUGGAAACGACUGCUAAUACCGGAUGAUGACGUAAGUCCAAAGAUUUAUCGCCGAGGGAUGAGCCCGCGUAGGAUUAGGUAGUUGGUGUGGUAAAGGCGCACCAAGCCGACGAUCCUUAGCUGGUCUGAGAGGAUGAUCAGCCACACUGGGACUGAGACACGGCCCAG